rnacentral:rRNA from 1 species
AGCAGCCGCCGCGGGAAUACGAGGGGGGCAAGCGUUGUUCGGAAUUAUUGGGCGUAAAGCGUGCGCAGGCGGUUUUAUAAGUCUGAUGUGAAAUCCCCGGGCUCAACCUGGGAACUGCAUUGGAGACUGUAAGGCUAGAGUGUGUCAGAGGGGGGUAGAAUUCCACGUGUAGCAGUGAAAUGCGUAGAUAUGUGGAGGAAUACCGAUGGCGAAGGCAGCCCCCUGGGAUAACACUGACGCUCAUGCACGAAAGCGUGGGGAGCAAACAGGAUUAGAGACCCCUGUAGUCCCUGUCUCUUAUAA